AGGACGAACGCUGGCGGCGUGCUUAACACAUGCAAGUCGAGCGGAAAGGCCCUUCGGGGUACUCGAGCGGCGAACGGGUGAGUAACACGUGGGCAACCUGCCCCUAGCUCUGGGAUAACUCCGGGAAACCGGGGCUAAUACCGGAUACGAUCUUCCAUGGCAUCUCGGAAGAUGGAAAGUUUUUCGGCUAGGGAUGGGCCCGCGGCCUAUCAGCUUGUUGGUGAGGUAACGGCCCACCAAGGCGGCGACGGGU
rnacentral:rRNA from 1 species